AUGGGGGCUGGGGGGAGGGGAAGGGAAAGGGAUCCCUGCUGGAAACCCCUGACGCUCACACACCGGUACGUUCUCUCGGCGGGCGGGCAGGUAAUCGCGGGCGAACGACCUGCUGCGCCCCAGCGUGGGCAAAAGCGCGGGACUGGAGCUUUUGCAGGGCGGAGCGCGCGCACUUGUCCUUGUCUGUCUUCCUUCCUUCCUUCCUUCCUUCCUUCCUUCCUUCCUUCCCCGGGGCUGGGCAGGCGGCGCUGCGAAGCAGCUCUUGCUGGGGGGGGGGCACCUUCGCCAACGCUGCUGCAGUCGGCGGCCUCGCUCGGCCGCGGCGAGCGCCAGGGGCGCCAAGAAGAACCAAAGGCCGAGAAGGAGAAGAGCCGCCGCCGCCGGGGUUCCGCCGGGCGAGAGCGGCCACGAGGCGCCCCUUUGGCUCCGCGUCCAAACAGCCGCGCUGUGCCGCCGGCGCGGCGGAGUCGCUCUCCGCUCGCCCGCUCGCUGCGAACGGCGGCGUCUCCGCCCCUUUCGACACCCGACCCGCCUCCCUCCUGCUGGCGACCGUGUGAAGCGAGCGGGGCAGCCGCGGCGGGCAGCGAGGCGAGAGGAGGCGGACGAUCCAGACGACGGGGCGGCGGGAGGCAGAGAGCGACGGCGCUUCGAGCGGAAGGGACGCGAAGAGGCGAGCGGGCGGCAUGAAUACUCCUCUUGUAUGCCGCUUGGAGCGUCUUUUUGGUUAGACAUCAGUUAAGGAUGGGAUUUGACUGGUUGUCUUCAUGGGACCAGCCUGUUGCCACAUAACCAUGCCAUCUGGUGGGGCAAUUUCAGCACCGCAGCAAGUCCCUGGCAACUCCAAGAAAGAAUAGUAAGUCUUCUGCGUAGCAACU
rnacentral:lncRNA from 1 species